AAACUUCAUCUGAAGAAAAACAAAACCUGAUUCUCAAUGUGUGGAGAUGGGCUACUGCUCGAGUUUCUGGUGAUAUGUACCUUGAACUGGAGACGAAACACUGCAGAGGAAGCAGAAUAUCUACUUUCAGCCCAAAACAUUCUCUGCAAACAAAGUCUCACAAAGAAGACUAAUAAUGCAAACCAGAUGUAUUUGGAGUAACGUGAUGGAGUGGCAGGUGGCAGCCAGGGAAGGGAGGUGCUCCUUUCUCCCUGCUGAUCUCCUUUCAACUCGUCAUCUCCCCUGGCAGCCUAGGUAUGUUUGGAAACCACAAAUGUAGGUUAUCUCACCCAAUCCCCAUGACUGCCAUAUGAGGUAGAUAUAAUCACCCCCAUUCAUAAAUGAGGUAACUAACAAGAUGCUGUCAGCUUGCCAAGACAACAUGGUGAGUAAACUUCAUGUUUGCCAAUAUAGUGAAACCAUGUCUCUAGAAAAAAAAAAAAAAAAGUAAUAAUAAUUA